AUUGAACGCUGGCGGCAUGCUUUACACAUGCAAGUCGAACGGCAGCGGGGGCUUCGGCCUGCCGGCGAGUGGCGAACGGGUGAGUAAUGCAUCGGAACGUGCCCAUGUCGUGGGGGAUAACGUAGCGAAAGCUACGCUAAUACCGCAUACGCCCUGAGGGGGAAAGCGGGGGAUUCUUCGGAACCUCGCGCGAUUGGAGCGGCCGAUGUCGGAUUAGCUAGUAGGUGAGGUAAAGGCUCACCUAGGCGACGAUCCGUAGCGGGUCUGAGAGGAUGAUCCGCCACACUGGGACUGAGACACGGCCCAGACUCCUACGGGAGGCAGCAGUGGGGAAUUUUGGACAACGGGCGCAAGCCUGAUCCAGCCAUGCCGCGUGAGUGAAGAAGGCCUCGG
rnacentral:rRNA from 1 species